AAUUAACAAUUCAUUUAAUUACAGAUGUUAAUUGUUAAUAACAAUUUGUUAUUAAUUAGUUGGUGAUGAUUAUUUUGAUUGUCAGGUUGUGGUUUAUCUCGACUGGAAAUGUACCGCUGGAAGGGUUAGUUAAUCAUGUAAGAAUUAAUUUCGCAGAUUUUGUUUUCUGUCAUUGGGGCGAUUGAAUGUUCGUGUAAUCAUUGGAUUCUCGUUAAUUCUACAGGUUUUGGAUCUCUACUUUGUCUACUUUAAUCAACUCGAAUCCUUGGUAAUCGUCAAAGUGUUUGGUUAAUUGUUUAUGAUCACCAGCAGUCGCAAACGAAGCCGUUGACCUGCUCAAAGAUUUUCACCUGUCCCCUUAAAGAUUUUGUCGAAAGAAGAAAAGAAGAAAAUAAUUCGUAUAAGGUUUCCAAUUUCUUAAAAUACAUAGUGUGUAUGAUGGAGAGUCCAGUCUAACAGCGGUCAACAUUAAAAACCACAACAACAACAACAACAACCCAAUCCAUGGAAGAGAGAGAGAGAAAAAAGGAAGACGAAGGAAGAGGAAAUUAACAAAAAGAAAGAACGAUUUUCUCUUUUUUUCUUCUUUUUCUGUGAAUCAAGUGGAAAAACAAAAUGUCUCGUCUGGACUAAAGACUCGGACACAGUGUUUAAGGUGGAAAAAUGGCAAAAGAGCAACAAGAAAGAAAGAAGAAAAAAAAGAGAAAAGAAAAGUUUACAUUUCUAAAUAGGUAAGAAAAGGUUAGGUCUCGUUGAUUAUUGGGAUUAAGUUACCGAGAAAAGGUGUGUUAUCAAGAAGAAGAAGAAGAAAAAGCAAAAAGAAAAGAAAAUGGACUGACCAAAGAGUUACCUGUUCCUUUGGUGCGUAAAGGCCAAUAUAGUUUAAUGUGUUUUUCUUUCAUCAUUAUUAUCACUUUUCAUCUUUCGUUUGAAUUUCAAGUUGAAUUUUAUCCUUCUUUUUUCUUGGAAUUUGCAGAUCAAACCAACAAGUGAUUAUGGUUACCUUAUUUUUACCUUAAUUCUUUUUUUUCCCUUUCUUUCAUUUUACCUUUUAUUUUUUUAUUCUUUUCUCCUUUCUCGUUACACUGGCCCCUUACAGGUUGCUACGUAUUAUCAACAUGCUACAAACCCCAUUGAGACUUUACCUGGACACACACAAUGGAAACUGAGAGAAAGAGAAACAACAAAAAGAGAAAACAUAAAAAAAAACUCAACGAAUUUAUAACUUUUUCUAUCUAACCACUGGUGACGAUCCCCUUACUUAAUUUACGUAAUUUGUUGAUAAAAUUUUUCGGACGAAAUAUAACAUAUUAACCAUUGGAACUGUUGCUAUAUAAUCAUUGGAAUAAUUAGCUGAUUGAACAUCGCGAUGGUUGUUGGACAAUCAACCAAUUGAUUCUGUCAAGUUGAACAUUUUUCAGUGGACAUUUGAAUUACAUUUCUCUGUGAUUAUGAAAAGUAAUCGCCACCACCAAGUACCCAUACUUAGAGAUAUAAGACAUUCACAGUGGGUAGUAGGCUUGAAGAGAAAAUAUCUUACCACCUCAACGCUUUUAGUGGUCAGCAAAAAAAUGCAUCUCUCACCUUUAACCUCAUAGAGUGAUCUAUGAAAAUUGUCAAAAUGGACAGGUUGACCCAAUCAGAACAUCUCAAAGUGUCUUAAUACAUACACUCUAAUAAUAAGAACUUUUUUUUCUCUCAGAUUCAAACAAUCAAAGUCUCCAUCUUAUCCACAAAUUGACCAACACAUAACAAGGAACCAAAAUCUUGAACCUGUCUACCUGUGAUUCUAACAAUUGAUUCGUUAAAAAAUUUUCUUCUAAUUUUACUUUUCUCUCCUUCUUAUCCAUCAACAAUCUAUAUAGACACCGACCCAUGAGAUCUCAUCAAUUUGGCGAAAAAUCUGUAAGAUUAUUAAGAGAAUUGACUUCUCAAAGUGUAUCUUAAGAAAACACUGACCAAUUCACCUUAUUCACCAUUAAGGAAAUCGCUCUCAAAUAUCUAAUGGUCAAUGGAUUUAAACCAGAACAAUAUAUAUAAAAGUUCAUUGGCAUUAUAAUCAACUAAUCAUCAACAUCUUUACGAGCAAAGUGAAACCAAUUUAAAAGCAACGUUAUAACAACAGUGAGGAUUAAGAUUGAUUAUGACGUUUGGAUUCAAUUCAAAUCAAUUGUCGUUAACUUUUUUCCUCUCUUCUUUUCAUAUCUUCGUGUUAACUAUUAACCUCUAAACAAUUUAAACAAUUUAAGAUAACAAAUUAACGUUUAUCCUAAAUAACAGGUCUCUCUCUCUCUCUCUCUCUUUAUUUGAUUGUCAAUACAAUCAAAUCAAUUGUAUAAAGAGAAAAAAAAAUUCGUUAACUGAUGUGUUUUGAUUAUGAAUCUAAAUGAUUAGUUGAAUCAUUAUAAUCUUCUAGUAAAUGAUCUGUAUUAUUACAGUUAAUCAUUUGAUUUCGUGAUUACAUUGAGAUGGAAGAGAAAAUUUUUUUUUUCUUCUUAAUUUCAACAACGUGCAAACAGAUCUAUCAAUAUCAAUAUAAAUCGUCAACAAUUACAAUGGUCAAAAUGUAUAUAAUUUCUUGACCAGAAGAAAAACGAAAAUCUAAUUUUCUCUUUUUGUUAAAAGUCAUUUAUUUAUAUAAACAAUUGUAAUUGUUACAUAUUUUGAUACAUCUUCAUUAACCUUAUCCUUAUAUUGACAAGUGACCAUUGAGAUAAAUGCAAAACAUUGGUAAACAAGUAAAACCAAAUCAACUCUAAUUGUAACAAGUUAAACUACUUUAAAUAGUAAUUAACUUUUCCACCUUGUUUACCUUUCUAAUAGGUAAAUGUAACAGUGAUGGUCGAUCGUGAUGAGCUAAAAAUGAAAAUAGUAACUAUUAUCUUCGGGAACCGGAAACGAUGUCUAAGGAUCUCACGUAAGGUAGUAAUCAGAAUGAGAAUUCUCAUAAACACUCAAUGGAAAUACAGUUGAUGAUAAAUGGACAAUGACAAUUAACACCUAAUUGGAUUUUGGAUUAUAUUUUUUCUCUACUGAGAAAAACUGACCAUUAACAAUAAGAAAAUGAGAUUGGUCAAAAAGGAGAGAAAAGAAAAAGGAUAAAAAAUGGUUUCGUUAUUAACUGAUUGUCAACAAUCAAUGGAAGAGAAAAUUUAUCUCUGUAAAUGAUAUUGGUAAUUACGAUGAAUAUGUGAAUGAUACAUUCCAAUCCCAAACAAAGGUCAAUUUAUCAACGGGAACAUUUGAUUAACAAUAAGUUAAUUUGAUUACUAUUACAACUUAUGGAUAGACAACAUUAGGAUUGGUCAUUUUUACUAUUGGCUAAUUUGGUUCCGAUUAUUUUUCGCGCAUUUUUAUGAUGAUAAACAACGAUCAAUAAUCAAUUGGAAUCAAAGACCAACAAGAAAAAAAAAUCGUACCAAUGGUCAACUCAUUUGAUUAUCCUUUCCAAUUGAUUGUUUACUUUAAUACAGAUUGGAAAAGUUAAUCUUAAUCAUGUUAAUCUACCGAAUCGAGUAGGAUAGAGACUAACCUAUGAACAAACAUUAACUCAUUGUAAUCACAAUUAACCAACUAUUCAACUGGGUCAACAGUUAAUUGUGUGAAUGAAAAUUUAUACACAUAAAAAUUAACAAUCAAGUUAAUCAUGUUAGUAAAAGAUAGCAAGAAAAACUAACAAUAAUUUGACAAAGAGACAACAAAAAUGCCCUGAGGAAGAGGAAACAAGGAUGAUGAUGAUGAUGAUGAUAAGGAAGACACAGCGGAAAAUAACAUAGGAAAUAACAAAAAGUACAAAAUAUCUGGACAAUGGUCAGUUUUUUGUUUAAAUUAAACACGAAAAAUUAACUAACCAUAAAAAAACUGAAAAGGAAACAAAAAUUUUAGGUCAAAUGAUUAAACCAAAUUACAAUUACAAUUAAACAAAUCUACUGAUAAACAAUGGGUCAGUUUAAUUGUCAAACUCACCUUAGAUUAAGAUGUCUCCAAGUUAAUCAUCUUUAAUUGUUGAUCAACAAUUUGCCAACAGGAGGAAAAGAAAUACCUCAACUUAAAUUGUUACACUAAUGAUAAUUUUGCGAUUUAAGUUAAUUAAGUGAAUCCGUUUCUUGGACAACAACAAAUAACAUUUAUUAUUAUCAUUAAUCUGAUUAACUUUAAUUCAAUAAGCAUAAUGAUUAAAUGCCACUGAUUGUGAUUAGUAAAUGAUGAUAUAUGUUGUUUAUUGGUAAAAAAAUGCUCAAAAUCAGAGGGUAUUGAUUAAGACAGAAUUAGUGAGAUUCUUGGUGAGAAUUAGCAACAAUCAGAAUGUUUAACCUGACCUGUUAAUAGUUAAUUCUAGAGACAACAACAAUUCGUGAUUAAAGCUUAAUAGUAAUUGUAAUUGUCUACAAUUUAGAUUUUUUUUCAGAUUCUUGCAAGGAAAAUAAAUCUUUCCAAUUGAGUUAUAGUGAUAAAUCAUUGAGAUUCAAUUGGUGACAAUCAUUAAGAAGAUACAAAUGAUUAAAUGUAUCAUCUUGAUUCUUAUCUUGAUCCUCUCAGGUCACUUGUUAUCUUGACCUUUACACUGACCUUUAUCAUCUCCGUGACUUGUUACAUGAAACUGACCAUUGGCUAAUCUUUAACAUACACAUACACACACCUUAACUUAACAACAAUUGAUAAUAAAUGAUACGACUAAUCAACUUUUCCUUGUUAAAAUAAUUAAUUGUUUCAUCGUUAACAAUCAAUGGUGAUCAAUUUUAACACAAUAUCAUAAUUAAAAUUUUAAAUUGAUUCUUGAUCGUUUAAUUUAUAUUCUUGAUUGUGAUCAUCA